rnacentral:rRNA from 1 species
ACUUCGGGUGGGAACUCCAGGGAGACUGCCGGUGAUAAACCGGAGGAAGGUGGGGACGACGUCAAGUCAUCAUGGCCCUUACGAGUAGGGCUACACACGUGCUACAAUGGCGUAUACAGAGGGCUGCCAACCAGCGAUGGUGAGCGAAUCCCACAAAGUACGUCGUAGUCCGGAUUGGAGUCUGCAACUCGACUCCAUGAAGUCGGAAUCGCUUGUAAUCGUGGAUCAGAAUGCCACGGUGAAUACGUUCCCGGGCCUUGUACACACCGCCCGUCACACCAUGGGAGUGGGCUGCACCAGAAGUAGAUAGCUUA